AGAACCACCUCAGUGGCUUCAUGGAGGCCUCCUGCUCUCCAGGCAUUGGGGUUGAACAAUGCCGCCUUCGCUACAAGGCCUGAUUCCCUGCAGGCUGAGGCAGAGGGGACAAGAGUCCAUGGCUGUCAACACAGUAGCAUUUUCCUCUGUAAGGAGAAGACGUUUACUCUAUCAAUGUGCACUUCAGACUCUGGAUUUCCACUGAUGCAAAUAGAUCCAUUACAGCUUUGAAAAUUCCUUUCUGGGAGAUUUCUUGCUGACGCGCACAGUUUUGUGGAACUAAGAGAAGACAAGAAGGGAAAAUCAAAGGACUGCUGUGUAACCAGUGCUGGCUUGCUUAUUCAUCUGAAAGCUGCAUUAAAAAGAGGGAGCCUUUAUUCCCAAAAUUGAAGGUGGAAAGUAAAGCAAAAGUAAACUAAGGGCCUCUAUGGAGGAUGAAGUCUGGCAACCUCCCCAUCUUUCCUGAGAACAUCACACAACCAGGCAAGGUCACUUAAGUCCCCUUCCAAGGCAUUGGGGACCAUAACUUAGUCUGCCAAUCUUCUGGAAGAUCACAGAUUAAUCAUCUGUUUUGGUAUAUCCAAAAGGAGUUUGUUUCUUUGACAAAUUCAAGGUGCUGGUGUUGAUCUGUACAACCCUGAAAUGUUAUUGGAUCUGAAACUGCUAACAUAUGACUCUUCCCCUAUUUUAUUUUGUGAUCGUGGGAACAUCCUGCUCUAUCUCUCAUUGCCGUUUAAGCUGCAAAGGAGCUAGAAAGGUAGAUAUUGCCAGAUACCAUUCACUAGAAAACCCAGUCAACUUUCUAUCCUUUUUGUUUCAGGCAUAAGGGGAAAAAUAAAUUAAUAUACCCUACAUUUUGCAUAUUCCAUCCAAGAAAAUACAAUUUAUUUUCCAGUACCCCUAGCUUAUUAUUCCUGGCUUGAGGCUGUUGGAAAAUUACCAUGGGUAAUUUAAGUUUAAUUUGCAUCCAGCAUACUCCUAGUCAGUCCCUAUGUCCAAAUCAGAGCAAGCACACAUGUCACUCAGUUAAGCUAGCAAAAACAUAGCUAGAUGUUUAUUUAUUAAACAUCUGCAAACAUAAAAAGUUAAUUGGAAAAAUGGGAUAAAGGCAGACAAAAACAAGGGGGAAGGGAGAGAGAGACAGAUGAACAACAGGCAGAAUUUAUAUUAUCUAUAUAUCUAUAUCUAAAGGACAGAACGUUUCAGAGCCACUGGAAAUAA